rfam:Prevotella salivae F0493 contig00001, whole genome shotgun sequence.
UCCUUACCUUUGCCACGCUGUUAUAUAGGUCUGUAAUGGGUCAGACGUUUCUACCGGUUACCGUAAAUACCCGUCUAUAGCAGCUAUUUAUAAUGUA